GCCGGCAUUCCACAAGAUAAAACGAAACCCUCAAUUCCUCAGGAGUCCCGCCUCCAAAAGAGCGCCUGGGAGGCCUGCGCAGUACAGAUAUACCUACUGAGAAGACAGCAGACUUACUUUCAUCAUCUGAAUCAAAUCCAAAGAGGGUCUGACAUUUCUUUUGUGCAAGCAUGUGACUUGGGGCUAGUUGCUAAACCGGAGUCUCAUCUGCGCCCUUCAUAAAAUGAAGACUGAACCAGCACCUGUCUCACAGGUCAUAGAAGAGUCGCUCAGAAAGCAGCACAGGGCCUGAGGUGUCUUUGGAAAGGCCGGAGAGCUGUUCACGAGCUGCGCGUUGUCCAUCUCAACUACUUAACCCUGUUACAUCCUGAGAGCGGCCAUAGAAAACACAAAAGUGAAUGGGCAAAGUCCAGCAAAUUUUUAUUUGCAAAAGCAGGCAGUGUUGCUUAUGUCACAAUGGCUUACAACAAAGGUUCAUAACUUGUUAGUGUGUUUGGAUGACUGUGGUCUGUUUGUUUAGUAAGAUUUGAAAAUUCUUAGAAGAAUCUGAUAAAAAAACAAAAACUUUAGACUUGCUCACCAACGAAAUCCAAGUACAACUUCUUUUGCAAAUAAUUUGAGUUCACAGACUUCCUGAAGUCACAAAUGGCUCCUAUAGUUUAUCUUAAAGAAAUCUUGUGUCUAGUGAAGUAGCUCAUUUGAUCUUUAUUUACAGCCACCACCCCCCUCUAAAAUACAGUGCAUACAGUGAAAAUGGACCAGCCUAUAUUCAAACUGUAUAGUCUUCCUAUAAACAAAUUUUUCCGCCUAAUUUUUUCAUCAUUAUAUUUUAUCUUCCUAGAUCAUUAUAUAGUCAUCGAGAACAUUUUUUUUUGAGAACAUUUUUUAAGGCUGAAUAGUUUAUGAGGUUGAAAAAUGUUCAGUUGUUUUAGAUGUUCUGGUUGCGUUUUCAUUUUCAACUCAUUCUUUUAAUUACAGUUAAUAUUAUGAUGAAUUGCUUUGUAUCUAAAUUUAUAUUUCUCAGAAAUUAAUGCUGUAAGUCAAAAAGUACAAAUUAUUUUUAAUGUUCCUAAUCUAUUUUGAUAAAUUAUGGUUCAGAAAGAUUGUGGUGAUUUCUGCUCCCAUCAUUUGAACAUGAGAUAUCCAUUUCACCACACCCUCAUGAGCAUGGAAUACAAAUCUUAAACUUUACUGAAGAGUUCUAUAACCUGAGAGAUCUUUGGCAGAGUUUCCAAAACAUGGCAAAGGAUAGAUAAUAAAGUCUAAAAAUGCACAUCCACUGCUCUGCGUUAGUAAAAUUUCAAGAUAUUCAAGGUUAAUCUAAAUAAUAUGGAGAGACAAACUUUAAAAUUUUAAUCAUUAAGAAAAACAUCUGAAAUAUAUUCCAUAACCCUCCAGCCUUCAAAAUACUAGGUAAUAACAUGAAGUAACUGGUUUGUAAUCAUCAUAACUCUUGCAUUUUAAAAAUGACCACUAAAGUGAGCCACUGCUUCAGAGAGAAGCAUAUUCCACGCAAGUGGGUUGGGGGAAAAAAUCAAAAGUUUGAAAAUCACUUAUUAGAGAGAACUUCUGAUGGUUUAAGUGUAAUUUUUUUUCUCUCUUUCACAUUCAUGAACACCUUUAGUUUCUGCUGCCUUGAGUAUUUUUAAAUCACUACUUCCACUCAAUAAUUGCUUAAGCAUAGUAUAUAUCGAUAUAUAUGCACAGAUACUAUAAUAGAUACUGAAUGCUUAUUCCUGGAUAUAAUAUAUGUGUAUACUGGAAUGGUUAAGUAUACAGGCUCUUGACAGACUGGCCAGGAUUCCAAUCUGACUUAGGCCAUUUAAUCUCUCUUGGUCUUAAAUUUUCUAAACUGUAAAAUGAGAAUAAUGGCACAUACCACAUAGAAUAGUGGAUUAAAUGAGACAGAAGAGGUAAAACACUCAUCACAGUAUAUGACACACAGAAAACACUCAAAAUAUCACUUAUAUUCAUAAAUUCCAAUAAAAUAAGUAAAUUUUUCAGAUAACUAAAACUAUAACACACACAUAGUAAAUCAUUGACCAGUGAUUAGUGAAUAUUUAGAACGUUUUAACUUCAGGGUAACUAAAACAGAUAUGGGUUAAUUUUAGUUAACUCCAGUUACAGAACUAUGUACUAGUAAAUUGUAUACAUGUUUUAUGAGAGUAUCAAAUACACACACACAUAUAUAAAGUACAAAGAACAAUGUUGUGUACCCAUCUAUUAAUAUCUACUGAUAUAACUACUUCUCUAACUUCUUUAUCUUUUCACUUCUCUGUUUUACCAUAAAUGUAGCCAGAAAAGGAGGAUGUCCCUUUCUCUCUCAAAGUUAAUUAACUAAUCAAUUAUAGUGUAUCGCUCUGCUGCUGCUGCUAAAUCGCUUCAAUCGUCUCAGACUCUGUGCAACCCCACAGACGGCAGCCUAACAGG